rnacentral:rRNA from 1 species
UACGAAGGGGGCUAGCGUUGCUCGGAAUUACUGGGCGUAAAGCGCACGUAGGCGGCUUUCUAAGUCGGGGGUGAAAUCCUGGAGCUCAACUCCAGAACUGCCUUCGAUACUGGAGAGCUCGAGUCCGGGAGAGGUGAGUGGAACUGCGAGUGUAGAGGUGAAAUUCGUAGAUAUUCGCAAGAACACCGAUGGCGAAGGCAGCCCCCUGGGCUGAGAUUGACGCUCAGGCACGAAAGCGUGGGGAGCAAACAGG